AACGCACGAGACCUGCGGACCUGCGGAAGGAUCAUUACCGAGUUUACAACUCCCAAACCCCUGUGAACUUAUACCUUUACUGUUGCUUCGGCGGGUCAUUGCCCCGGGGAAACAGGUGCCGCCAGGUCCCUGCCCCCCCGGAAACAGGCGCCCGCCGGGGGACUCAAACUCUUCUGUAUUUUUUGUUUACUGUAUACUGUCUGAGUAAAAAUUCAUAAUGAAUCAAAACUUUCAGCAACG
rnacentral:misc_RNA from 1 species